rnacentral:rRNA from 1 species
GAAAAUACGAGGUCACUCCAACCCAUGUGACGUUACCAAACUGUUGCCUCGGCGGGAUCUCUGCCCCGGGUGCGUCGCAGCCCCGGACCAAGGCGCCCGCCGGAGGACCAACCAAAACUCUUUUUGUAUACCCCCUCGCGGGUUUUUUAUAAUCUGAGCCUUCUCGGCGCCUCUCGUAGGCGUUUCGAAAAUGAAUCAAAACUUUCAACAACGGAUCUCUUGGUUCUGGCAUCGAUGAAGAACGCAGCGAAAUGCGAUAAGUAAUGUGAAUUGCAGAAUUCAGUGAAUCAUCGAAUCUUUGAACGCACAUUGCGCCCGCCAGUAUUCUGGCGGGCAUGCCUGUCCGAGCGUCAUUUCAACCCUCGAACCCCUCCGGGGGGUCGGCGUUGGGGAUCGGCCCUGCCUCUUGGCGGUGGCCGUCUCCGAAAUACAGUGGCGGUCUCGCCGCAGCCUCUCCUGCGCAGUAGUUUGCACACUCGCAUCGGGAGCGCGGCGCGUCCACAGCCGUUAAACACCCAACUUCUGAAAUGUUGACCUCGGAUCAGGUAGGAAUACCCGCUGAACUUAAGCAUAUCAAUAAGCGGAGGAACAUAUCAAU